GCAGCGGCGGUAUACAGAGGGUGCAAGCGUUAAUCGGAUUUACUGGCGUAAAGCGCGCGUAGGUGGCCAAUUAAGUCAAAUGUGAAAUCCCCGAGCUUAACUUGGGAAUUGCAUUCGAUACUGGUUGGCUAGAGUAUGGGAGAGGAUGGUAGAAUUCCAGGUGUAGCGGUGAAAUGCGUAGAGAUCUGGAGGAAUACCGAUGGCGAAGGCAGCCAUCUGGCCUAAUACUGACACUGAGGUGCGAAAGCAUGGGGAGCAAACAGGAUUAGAUACCCUGGUAGUCCAUGCCGUAAACGAUGUCUACUAGCCGUUGGGGCCUUUGAGGCUUUAGUGGCGCAGCUAACGCGAUAAGUAGACCGCCUGGGGAGUACGGUCGCAAGACUAAAACUCAAAUGAAUUGACGGGGGCCCGCACAAGCGGUGGAGCAUGUGGUUUAAUUCGAUGCAACGCGAAGAACCUUACCUGGUCUUGACAUAGUAAGAACUUUCCAGAGAUGGAUUGGUGCCUUCGGGAACUUACAUACAGGUGCUGCAUGGCUGUCGUCAGCUCGUGUCGUGAGAUGUUGGGUUAAGUCCCGCAACGAGCGCAACCCUUUUCCUUAUUUGCCAGCGGGUUAAGCCGGGAACUUUAAGGAUACUGCCAGUGACAAACUGGAGGAAGGCGGGGACGACGUCAAGUCAUCAUGGCCCUUACGACCAGGGCUACACACGUGCUACAAUGGUCGGUACAAAGGGUUGCUACCUCGCGAGAGGAUGCUAAUCUCAAAAAGCCGAUCGUAGUCCGGAUCGCAGUCUGCAACUCGACUGCGUGAAGUCGGAAUCGCUAGUAAUCGCGGAUCAGAAUGCCGCGGUGAAUACGUUCCCGGGCCUUGUACACACCGCCCGUCACACCAUGGGAGUUUGUUGCACCAGAAGUAGGUAGUCUAACCGCAAGGAGGACGCUU
rnacentral:rRNA from 1 species